GACGUAGGGCGCAAGCGUUGUCCGGAUUUAUUGGGCGUAAAGAGCUCGUAGGCGGCUUGUUGCGUCGACUGUGAAAAACCACGUCUCAACCGUGGGACUGCAGUCGAUACGGGCAGGCUAGAGUUCGGUAGGGGAGACUGGAAUUCCUGGUGUAGCGGUGAAAUGCGCAGAUAUCAGGAGGAACACCGAUGGCGAAGGCAGGUCUCUGGGCCACUACUGACGCUGAGAAGCGAAAGCAUGGGGAGCGAACAGG
rnacentral:rRNA from 1 species